AGUGAACGCUGGCGGUAGGCCUAACACAUGCAAGUCGAACGGUAGCACAGUAAGAGCUUGCUCUUACGGGUGGCGAGUGGCGGACGGGUGAGGAAUACAUCGGAAUCUACUUUUUCGUGGGGGAUAACGUAGGGAAACUUACGCUAAUACCGCAUACGACCUACGGGUGAAAGCAGGGGAUCUUCGGACCUUGCGCGAUUGAAUGAGCCGAUGUCGGAUUAGCUAGUUGGCGGGGUAAAGGCCCACCAAGGCGACGAUCCGUAGCUGGUCUGAGAGGAUGAUCAGCCACACUGGAACUGAGACACGGUCCAGACUCCUACGGGAGGCAGCAGUGGGGAAUAUUGGACAAUGGGCGCAAGCCUGAUCCAGCCAUACCGCGUGGGUGAAGAAGGCCUUCGGGUUGUAAAGCCCUUUUGUUGGGAAAGAAAAGCAGCAGGUUAAUACCCCGCUGUUCCGACGGUACCCAAAGAAUAAGCACCGGCUAACUUCGUG
rnacentral:rRNA from 1 species